rnacentral:sRNA from 1 species
UAAUUGUUAGGUGAGGCUCCUAUAAAGAAACAAGCUGCUGCCGCGAAAGAAUCGAGAGAUUUUGAGUUGGUUAACAGGAAUAAUCGCGAAGGUUAUUCAUAAUGUAGCUGAUAAGUCAGAUGAUUUAUCUACGCUUUAUAGUGCUAAAGCUCAACGGUGGC